GGAAGUACUGUCAGCAGCUGGAAAUGCAGCUGUGAGAGGCUUCCAGCCUGCUAGCAGAAGGGGAAAAUAAACUUCCUGUAUUCAUCUAAUGGGUACUUUUCAGUGUUUGAUUUCAGAUUUCAUGCACUUUUCCUUCAUCUGGCAGUUGUCACUAAGGCAGAUGGCCACCAGCUGGGAGGGCAAUGGCCUGAUAACGAAACUCCACUCUCAAGCAGGAAGCCAGGAGAGGGCUCUAGUUAUUGGAGGUGGGAGGUGUCCACUGUCUUUACAGGGAAGAUGAGACUGCUUUACUGGCCAAUCAAAUGCAACUAAGAAAGCGGGGUACCUAAAUUAAUAUAAUUCACUUGAUUCCUUCAUGUAUUUUUUCACAUUUGCUAAGUGCUUGUAAAACAUAAAGGAUGUGAGCUCAACUCUUCUGGAUUGAGCUAAGGGUCUUAUCACUGAACUAUUCUUGGAUACUGUACUAUUUUUUUUUUAAGUGAAAAAACAUGAAAGAUCUUCAUUUUUUUAAUUGUUAUCAAAUAGAAGGAAUAAAAUAUUCAUAGAAUAAUAUGUUGCU
rnacentral:lncRNA from 7 species